ACGGGAUUCCAGUGUCUCAUCAGACCUGAGAGAGACGAAAGGUCGCCGAGGCGAUUACUUACUGGGUUUUCCGGGAACUCAGGAAAACGCUGCUGGGGAACGAGUGCUCAGCGCUAGGAAAAACUUCUCCGAAUUGAAGCCACCCGAAGACAGGCGAAAGCAUCCACUUCUUG
rnacentral:lncRNA from 1 species